rnacentral:piRNA from 1 species
UGCCUGGUCCUUCUAGACUAAGUAGGACAUC